UACGUAGGCAGCAAGCGUUGUUCGGAGUUACUGGGCGUAAAGGGUGUGUAGGCGGUUGCUUAAGUUUGGUGUGAAAUCUCCCGGCUCAACUGGGAGGGUGCGCCGAAUACUGAGUGACUCGAGUGCGGGAGAGGAAAGUGGAAUUCCUGGUGUAGCGGUGAGAUGCGUAGAUAUCAGGAGGAACAUCGGUGGUGUAGACGGCUUUCUGGACCGUAACUGACGCUGAGACGCGAAAGCGUGGGGAGCAAACAGG
rnacentral:rRNA from 1 species